rnacentral:piRNA from 1 species
UAUGAAAACAGGAACUUACAG